GCCCGAGUGGCGGAACUGGUAGACGCGCUGGAUUCAAAAUCCUGUGUUCGCAAGGACGUGCCGGUUCGAUUCCGGCCUCGGGUA
rnacentral:tRNA from 2 species